GGGCCGGAAAGGAACUUAACCCAUCGUUGCUGGGGGCUGUCGCUCCUUACCGGGCCGUCGCGCCUUACAAAGAGGAAUGAUUGUUGGUUUUUUUUUUUUUUAAUGAAUGGAGGGCGGCGGCAAGCAGCAGCUGCAGCUGGAUCAGCUGCGCGUGCUGUACCCCACCCGGCCUGGGAAAGAAGGGGAACCUGGCAGAGCUGGAUGUCCCUGCCUGUUGUUGUGGCUGUUACUGAUGGAUGAUGCAGAUGAUGAAGAUUUCACUUCAAGUCUCAACACGGUGUUCCAGCAUGGGAUGCAGCAAGGUUAUCAAGCUCUUAUUUUCUCUCACUCCUACCCUCCCUCCAUUUAAAGGGAAAAAAGGACUCCAAGGGUCCAUGAACAAUCAAGCAAACAGAUUCACACAUUGGCCAAGUCCAAUCUCUAUCUAGAUCCAUCACCUCCCAAACUCUGUCUCAUUAAAAAAAAAAAAUUCCUAUCAUUCAUUCACUCUCUUCUUUAGCAAGAAUGUAUUAAGUUUAUACUAGGUGCCAGGCACUGUGAUAGCCUGGGGGAUACAAAUUAAAAAAGAAAAAAAAGCAGGUCUUAUCCACAAGGAGUUUAUAGUGUACACAGUGUGUGUGUACACAGAAAAAUAAAUAUAAAAUAAUAUGAGGAGGGUCUUGACA
rnacentral:lncRNA from 1 species